UACGGAGGAUGCAAGCGUUAUCCGGAAUGAUUGGGCGUAAAGCGUCCGCAGGUGGCAAUGUAAGUCUGCUGUCAAAGCGUCUGGCUCAACCAGAUAAAGGCAGUGGAAACUACAUAGCUAGAGUAAGGUAGGGGUAGAGGGAAUUCCUGGUGUAGCGGUGAAAUGCGUAGAUAUCGGGAAGAACACCAGUGGCGAAGGCGCUCUACUGGGCCACAACUGACGCUGAGGGACGAAAGCUAGGGGAGCGAAAGGG
rnacentral:rRNA from 1 species